rfam:Ricinus communis cultivar Hale ctg_1100012356247, whole genome shotgun sequence.
AAGUUGUGAUGCAGGCAUUGAAUAAGAUAAAUCUUGAAUCUUUUUCAGGUAUCAUAGAAGGACUCUCCUUUUUUCUGAGUGAAAUUACAGACCAUAGACCUAUAAUC